GGAGGAGUCAUGUGGUGAGUUUUGAGUGAAAUCCAAUCCCCAAAACCAUGAAAUACACCAACCACUCCAUUUAUAGAACGAACUUCGGACGAACUUGAAUUGUCCAAUUUCAUUGGCCAAUCGAUAUCGGAUUGAGCACCGAACUUGGUGAACAUCAUAAUAUGGUGGGAGGAGUCCAUUGGUGUGUUUAGAGUGAAUUCCAAUCCCCAUAACCAUGCAAUACACCAAC
rnacentral:lncRNA from 1 species